rnacentral:rRNA from 1 species
UUAACACAUGCAAGUCGAGCGGUAACAUUUCUAGCUUGCUAGAAGAUGACGAGCGGCGGACGGGUGAGUAACGCGUAGGAAUCUGCCUAGUAGUGGGGGACAACAUGUGGAAACGCAUGCUAAUACCGCAUACGCCCUACGGGGGAAAGGAGGGGAUCUUCGGACCUUUCGCUAUUAGAUGAGCCUGCGUGAGAUUAGCUAGUUGGUGGGGUAAAGGCCUACCAAGGCGACGAUCUCUAGCUGGUCUGAGAGGAUGAUCAGCCACACUGGGACUGAGACACGGCCCAGACUCCUACGGGAGGCAGCAGUGGGGAAUAUUGGACAAUGGGCGCAAGCCUGAUCCAGCCAUGCCGCGUGUGUGAAGAAGGCCUUAGGGUUGUAAAGCACUUUCAGGAGUGAGGAAGGGCGUAUAGUUAAUACCUGUAUGUUUUGACGUUAACUCCAGAAGAAGCACCGGCUAACUCUGUGCCAGCAGCCGCGGUAAUACAGAGGGUGCGAGCGUUAAUCGGAAUUACUGGGCGUAAAGCGCGCGUANGCGGUUUGUUAAGUCGGAUGUGAAAUCCCAGGGCUCAACCUUGGAAUGGCACCCGAUACUGGCAG